rnacentral:siRNA from 1 species
ACCACGUGGUCAGAGUUUGGUGGA